AAAUCACCAAUACAUUUAUUUGCGGGAGAUGAGGUCAAAUCUUACCAUGAACUUUAAAACUGGGUAGGACUACAGACACUGAUCUGCCCAACCUCUGGGUAUUCACAACUGCACAGGUAACCAGAUCCUGUACGCGAGGCAUCACCAUUAAACAGAUGAGCAUUAGAUGAGGAGGACACAUUCUGAGUAGUUGCAUGAUUUCCCAUUCAGAGGCAGGUGCUGCCCUCAUAUCAGAAAAGUAGUGUUGAGAAAAACACAGACAGACUCAGCAAAUCUGCGAGGUAUGGGGAUUCUGCCAACUCCCCACCUCGCCUCACCUUCCCUAGGUCUGCCGGGUGACCCAAUCCACUGGGUGCAGCCCCACCCCCGCUCAACCCCACAUCUGGACAGACACAUGGCAAAUAUGGAACUGAAGCCCAGCUGGGCUGGAGCACAUCUGGUUGUUGUUGGGUUGGAGUCGUCUUGCAGGUGUCCCAAGGUGGUCAGGCCUCACCCACGGUGGCCAGGUUGAGACCGUGUUUUUUAGAUGAUUCAGGUUACUCCAGGGCAAAGCAUGAUCCUGAUGACACCCGGCGGAAAAGCAGGCUGGAGCCUCGGAAGAGCUGGCCCUGGAC
rnacentral:lncRNA from 1 species